rnacentral:rRNA from 1 species
UACGGAGGAUCCGAGCGUUAUCCGGAUUUAUUGGGUUUAAAGGGUGCGCAGGCGGGAGAUUAAGUCGGCGGUGAAAUUUUGCAGCUCAACUGUAAAAGUGCCUUCGAUACUGGUUUCCUUGAGUGUGGAUGAAGUAGGCGGAAUUAGUGGUGUAGCGGUGAAAUGCUUAGAUAUCACGAGGAACUCCGAUUGCGCAGGCAGCUUACUAAACCACUACUGACGCUCAGGCACGAAGGCGUGGGGAUCAAACAGGAUUAGAUACCCUGGUA